UUUAUUCAUGUUGAGGGUCUGACCUCAUGAGGAAAUUACUAUGCAGUGAUUUUCUCCAAAAUGACUGUGCUUAAAUUGCUCUGAAAAGUAAAUAAUCACAUCAGCGCCAAGAAACUUCAUUUCCCAUGAUGCUUUGCACACGGAAGCAUUGGGUGAUGUUACCGCCUAGUACCAGAAACACGUUCUGCGCAUGUGCGGGAAGCCGUGGAGCUUUUCCCGCGAACUAAGACCAUAAAUCUUCAGCAGAGACAAAGAAACCUCGUUCUUUUGCCCAGGAUACCUGGCGGUAAGGACACGCUUGUCGAACGCUCCGACAACUUGAGCACGCGGAAGCUCUAAGUGCCAAGUUGAGCCCACGCAACCGCUGGAAACUACACUCAACUCCAUCGGGACCUGACUGGGAACGAGCGGAGCUCCAUUCAGCUCUCAGAGAUGCUCCGUGGAGAAGCACACGUGGAGCCAAACAACGGAGAAAGCAUCAAACCGACGGAUGACGCUGAAAACUGCGGAGAAAAACGGAGAACCGUCAAAUCAUAACAGCGGGGACGCCUUGCUGCUCAUCUGGUGAUCAGAAAACUCAUUUUUUUCUCUCCUUUUCUUCUCCCGUUUCCUCUAUAGUCCAGAAUAAGCAAUAAAACCGCGCUAUUGCUUAAAAAGUAGCUUCGUGUUUUCCUCUUUCGCUCCCAAUUCGUCCUUCGGGUCAUUUUGAAAGAAUAAACUGCUUAUUGAUCAUCGCUAAUAUCUUUAGUCGUCAGCUCUGGCCAGGCUGCCGACUCCUUUUAGAUUAAAUAAUUUACAAGUGACCUUUUGUUGUUUGUUAACUUUUGAAGUGUUUGAGUUAAGUUUUACUGUGAUUCUAAGCCACUAAGUGUUCGGGAAAGUAGAAAACUUUACACAUCCAGGUCUCCUGUUGAAUGCGAGGGGAGGGGAAGAGCCCCACACACACUCACAGCUCACUCCCCCCACCUACUCUGGGGAAACAAAGACCCAUUCAUCUCACACACACACACACACUCACUCACACACACCACACAAACACCUUGAACAUUAUUUUGAAUAUACAUCCUUUUAUUAUAUCACAUGGUUAUUAUUCAUUUAUGCCACUGUUUAUUCAUUUGACAAAUUGUUAAUUAAACGUUAUAAAAUUCA